rnacentral:rRNA from 1 species
GCUUACGGCCAUACCAUUCCGACUGCGCCCGAUCUCGUCUGAUCGCGGAAGCUAAGUGGGGCCAGACUUGGUUAGUACUUGGUUGGGAGACUGCCUGGGAAUACCAAAUGCCAUAAGCA